ensembl:misc_RNA Metazoa_SRP Metazoan signal recognition particle RNA
GCCAGGCGUGGUGGCGUGUGCCUGUAGUCCCAGCUACUCAGGAGGCUGAGGCAGGAGAAUCGCUUGAACCUGGGAGGUGGAGGUUGCAGUAAGCCGAGAUGGCGCCACUGCACUCCAGCCUGGGUGACAGAGCGAGACUCUGCCUCAA